UCCGAAAUAGUGUAAUGGCUAGCACAGGGCGCUCUCACCUCCCAAAUCCGGGUUCGAUUCCCGGUUUCGGAG
rfam:Babjeviella inositovora NRRL Y-12698 unplaced genomic scaffold BABINscaffold_3, whole genome shotgun sequence.